rnacentral:rRNA from 1 species
CCAAUAGCGUAUAUUAAAGUUGUUGCAGUUAAAAAGCUCGUAGUUGAAUUUCGGGAUUAGUACGUUGGUCGUGCCUUCGGUACGUACUGGUGUUACUGAUUCCUACCUUCUGAAGAACCAUCAUGUCAUUAAUUUGGUGUGGCGGGGAAUCAGGACUGUUACUUUGAAAAAAUUAGAGUGUUUAAAGCAGGCUCGCGCUUGAAUACAUUAGCAUGGAAUAAUGAAAUAGGACGUUGACCCUAUUUUGUUGGUUUCUAGGAUUGACGUAAUGAUUAAUAGGGAUAGUUGGGGGCAUUAGUAUUCAAUUGUCAGAGGUGAAAUUCUUGGAUUUAUUGAAGACUAACUACUGCGAAAGCAUUUGCCAAGGAUGUUUUCAUUAAUCAAGAACGAAAGUUAGGGGAUCGAAGACGAUCAGAUACCGUCGUAGUCUUAACCAUAAACUAUGCCGACUAGGGAUCGGAUGAUGUUAUUUUUAAUGACUCAUUCGGCGCCUUACG